rfam:Ramlibacter sp. Leaf400 contig_1, whole genome shotgun sequence.
CCUCCUCGAUCUGCUGCGGGCAGAUGAAGUGGAUGUGGCUGUCGAUGCCGCCGGCGGUGACGAUGCUGCCUUCGCAGCUGAUGAUCUCGGUGCCCGCGCCGAUGACGAUGUCCACGCCGGGCUGCGUGUCGGGAUUGCCGGCCUUGCCGAUGGCGGCGAUGCGGCCGUCCUUGAGGCCGAUGUCGGCCUUCACGAUGCCCCAGUGGUCCAGGAUCAGCGCGUUGGUCAGCACGCAGUCCAUCGCCCCCUGCGCGCGCGUCUGCUGGCUUUGGGCCAUGCCGUCGCGGAUG